rnacentral:rRNA from 1 species
AUGAACGCUGGCGGCGUGCCUAAUACAUGCAAGUCGAGCGAACAGACGAGGAGCUUGCUCCUCUGACGUUAGCGGCGGGCGGGAGAGUAACACGUGGAUAACCUACCUAUAAGACUGGGAUAACUUCGGGAAACCGGAGCUAAUACCGGAUAAUAUAUUGAACCGCAUGGUUCAAUAGUGAAAGACGGUUUUGCUGUCACUUAUAGAUGGAUCCGCGCCGCAUUAGCUAGUUGGUAAGGUAACGGCUUACCAAGGCAACGAUGCGUAGCCGACCUGAGAGGGUGAUCGGCCACACUGGAACUGAGACACGGUCCAGACUCCUACGGGAGGCAGCAGUAGGGAAUCUUCCGCAAUGGGCGAAAGCUUGACGGAGCAACGCCGCGUGAGUGAUGAAGGUCUUCGGAUCGUAAAACUCUGUUAUUAGGGAAGAACAAAUGUGUAAGUAACUAUGCACGUCUUGACGGUACCUAAUCAGAAAGCCACGGCUAACUACGUG